GGAGCUGAAACUCUGACGGAUCUCAGAGAGCGUGAGGCCACAGAAGGUGGAGAAAAGUUGUGGAUUCCGGGCGCCGACAGCCUGCAGGGCCAAAGCAGCCGGGAAUAGGACCACUCAGCAGGGAUCCGGCUUGACCUUCGGAGAAGCAGCCGGACCCGCCCAAUUUGGCUGCCUGUGUCGAUUUCGGGGUCAGGGGAAGCCUCUGGCCGGCGGCGUGAACCCGAGGGCUGCAGGAUGCGCUCCAAACACAGGGCCCCGGGGCUGUGCGGGGUGCACUGCAGGACAGAGAGCAGAGAUUGCCUUCCUGGAAGAAGCCACAGUGUUUUCUGAGGAGCUCAAGUUCACAAUCCACAGGGGCUCCCAACACAGCCAAGAGGCAGAGAUGGGACUUGUAUAAGGGACAGAGACCUCAGUUCAAGACUAGCCAUUGGAACCCACAUGGCACCAAACAAUUUACAGUUUCUACUACCUAUUUAAAUAAAGUCUUUAUUUCAAGGCUUGAUUUUUCA
ensembl:lncRNA